rnacentral:lncRNA from 1 species
AUGCCCCUGUGGGCAGCAAGCUCCUUCCUGUCCCCUCCGAGCCUGGCUUCUGGGCUCAGCGGGUCAGCACUUUCUACAAAGUCCACACGCAGCACACAGAGCCCGGCUAGGCAGUACGUGGCACGCCUCCGGGGGAGCAAGCCGCCAGGACCCGCCGCAUGCCAGGGGCACGACCAUUUCCCUGGUGCACACUCCCCGCCAUGCUGCCCGCCCUCCUUGAGACCCCUGCGCCUGGAUCUCCUCCCUCUGCCCGCCUUCCUGUCUCCUCCUGAUGUCCCCAGUUCCCAGCGGGGAGCGCGGCGGCCAAGGCACCCUGCCCUCCCCACCCGGCCGCCCUUGCUUCCUCCUUCAGCCAGCUACACUCCCGCUGCAGACAGAGGUGAAAGACCCCCCGGAGGAGGGCGUCCCAGACCUGCUUGGAACCUGGUAGAUGGCCACGGCCCCACGAGACUGGAUCCGGACUAUGGCAGCACAUCCCUUGGGAUGGAAAACCCUGUCCAAAGAAACAGCCUGCUCUCCUGGUCCCCUGGCCCACCCACCCACCUACCUGCGCGCCAACCCCACACUGGGACCUCCUCUUUGGGUGGUCAGCAACAUCUCGAGACCAACAUCUGCACAGCCCAACGUUCAUCUGAGCCUGGUCUCACCUGCCGCCCCCCGGCCAUGGUGGGAGACGGGCCCAGCCGCGAGACGCAAGGUUCCAAGAGCAGAGAACAUAGGACAGAGAGAAGGCUGUCGGUCAGAUGAGGCGGGCAGGGCAGACAUGGCCGCAUGCCGGUCUCCAUCAGUCCAUCCUUGACCAUCUCCCCAAGACUCGAAGACCCACAGUGGCCGCUCCCACACCGGCCGGCUGGGAAAAGGCCCACGGUGGAGGGUGCACGCCGGGGCAGCCAGGGAUUGGUCACUGCCUGAAUGUCCCCGGACGGAUGCCCGUGUGCCCUUGGGCAGCCUUCCCCCCGGACAGGCUGUCCAGGCCGGGGAAACCCUAAGCCAAAGGGAUUAAGAAGAAAGGACAGAAUCGGCCGUUCCUUUGGCCGUGCUCAUUUGUGCCUCAUUUAGUGUAUAUUUGUUCAGUGGGUAAAAACACGGAGGUGAUGACGCCAAGGUCGGGAUGUGCUCCCAUCACUCAGGUCAGCCGCACGGAGGCCCGCCCCGCCCGCCCGCCUGCCCUGCCAGCCUGCCUCUCCCCAGCAGCCAUCUUGCACAUUCCUGUGGUCAGCCGGGAGGGCCACGGGAUCCUUCCCCAGCUCUGGGGUGACCGGAUGGGGAUGCGAGUGCAACCCUCUGCUCAGGCGCUGGAACCGGCCCGGGGCCCCUGACCCAAGUCCUGAGCAUCCUCCCUGCAGGCCCCUGUCCCAGAUGGAGCUGGAACCUCCAGCCUCGCUAGUCUCUGAGCUAGGGGUCCAACCCUGGAUGGCCAC